rnacentral:piRNA from 1 species
UUGGCCUGGAUUGUUAUGGCUUGCUUUA